rnacentral:tRNA from 1 species
AAGGGAGACCUAAUUCAGGUAUGGGACGAAAAAAAAGUAGUCCCAACCAAGAAUCAAUCCCAAGAGGUCGGAGCGAGGCGAAAUUGGCUUUCAAACUAGGUUCUGGGUUCAAACAAGACCUGAAUCAGGAACAAGGGCUAUUAGCUCAGGUGGUUAGAGCGCACCCCUGAUAAGGGUGAGGUCCCUGGUUCGAGUCCAGGAUGGCCCACCUGCACAGGUGGCAAAAACAAGAGAAGCGAGGAAUCAGCACCUUAUCUUACUGACAUAGCAAGAGAGAAUGCUGGCUCUGAGUAAAGAGUCCAGAGGAACCUUGAAAACUGCAUAGAGCUAGGUGAAAAAGCCAAAAAAGAAGACCGCAAGGUCAAGCUAAUAAGGGCUAACGGUGGAUACCUAGGCAC